CCGUUGGCAUCAACGGAGGUGUGGGCGAGGUAGAAGAGAGGAGCAUAGCAUUGACGUAGGGAUGAUGGAAGAGAAGAAGCAGGUACAGAAAUGGAAGAAAAAAGAGAGAAAAAAACGAUGAGAAAGGGGAAACGAAAAGGGAGAAGAAAAGUAAACAGGAGAUAAAACGGAGAGAGAAAGAGAGGAGGGUAUUUUGGUCAUUUUAUUAAAAAUUUAGACCUAAUCUGUAAAAUUUUAAAAAAUGAUCUAUUUUUG
rnacentral:lncRNA from 1 species